CUGUCAUGUUGUGUCUUGGAAGGUGGCCUGCCUCCAGCUCUCAUUUUCUUGAUAAAUUCUCUUCAAGUAGAAUUAAAGAUUGUGGUCGCGAGGGGCUAGUCAUCUUUCAAGGACUUGACUUGAUUG